GCAGGACCUGCCGCGCCUGCCCGCGCCCGCGCCACCGCCUGCACACCUGCCGCUGCCGCCGCUUCCCGAGGCCGCUAUCGCGGCCAUCCCGGGGCCCGUGGGCGCUCGGGGCCGGCCCCCGCUGCUCGCCGAACCUCCCCCCGCAGCCGCUGCCACCGCUGCCAACGCGGCCCUCACCCUUCACCCUGCUGGCGCCGCCGCUACCCCGUGAGCCCUGGCCGCUCCCGGUCUUUCCCCCGCCGCUGCCGCCCCCCCAGCCCCCGCCGCCCUACUUCUUCCUGUCGCCACCCUGCUGAUCACCUGACUCCGCUAGGCUACAAGCGGGUGAGUCCGUGCCUGGACACUGCAGUUUCGGAAGGUCGGGCCAGACCUCUGCUGGGGAAGAAAGAAGAGUGACGGGACUGCAGCCAAGGCUCGGGAAGAAUGAAGUAGCCUGGGCUCAGGUAACCAAGUGGAUGGCAGACCUCUUCCAUCACUCAGAGCGGUAUCAGGAAGCCAGCCUUGACCUUGGAGGACCUCUGAGAGCCCAGGUCCAUCAGCAAGAAGAUCAAUUAGUUUACUAGGUUCCCGUGGUGGCAGAAAGGAGCUAUGCAAACUAAGUGGCCUGAAACAAUAGGAAUUUGUUCUCUUAACAGUGCUGGUGGCCAGAGGCCUAAAGAAGGACUGGCCGUGUCAAAGGCAGCUGGAGACCAGGUCUGUCUCUUUGCCUUGCUUCAGCAGGGCCUUGCUGGUCCUCGGGUGCCAGGAAAGGACUUUCUUUGCCUCAGCUUCUAAGGACAUCUAUCGUUGACUUCCUAUUGAGAUCAUUCAUUGAAUCAUGCUUGCAAAGAUACUUUUAUCAGUAAGAUAUGGUGGUGCCAGGCUGGACCGACAGCCUCCAAAACGAUACAGAGAAACCCUGUCUCAUAAAACCAAAAAAAAAAAAAAAAAAAAAAAAAAAGAUAUGGUGGUAGCACAUGCCUUUAACAGAGCACUUGGGAGGCAGAGGCAGAUUUCUGAGUUGGAGGCCAGCCUAGUCUACAGAAUGAGUUUCAGGCUAGCCAGAACUAUAACACGAGACCUUUCAAGAAACAACCAAGCCGGGCGUUGGUGGCACACGCCUUUAAUCCCAGCACUUGGGAGGCAGAGGCAGGCGGAUCUCUGUGAGUUCGAGACCAGCCUGGACUACCAAGCGAGUUCCAGGACAGCCUCCAAAGCCACAGAGAAACCUUGUCUUGAAAAACCAAUAAAUAAAUAAAUAAAUAAAUAAAUAAACAACCAAAAGACACUUUUAUCGCAUGAGGUCAUACUCCCAAGUUCCAUUGCCAUCCAGCUCAUAUAAGCUCAGCCAUCUCUGUAGUCCAGGCUACCUUUGAACUUGGAUUCUGACUGCUUCUGCUACCCAAGUAGCUGCAUAGCAGGAUUGUGCUACCAAGCCUGGCUUAGGCCGUGACCCACCUUCCUAUCCAUCUUCCCAGAACUUAACUAAGCCCUCUCCUAUACUGGCUUGGGGGCCUUGAGUGGUCUGAGAGCCUGUGGUCAGCAGACUAACACUGGUACAGGAAGACAGUGUGCCUGUUUUCCAUAGCGACUGUCUCUCUGCUUCCUUGUGUUCCUCAGCUUGCUGCCUUCCCAUUCUCAUGCUGCCCAGCUCUCUUCUCUCAGCUUGGAAGCAAAAAGUAUCAGGAGGGACAGUGAAUGUAUCUUUUAAAGAUAACUCUUGUGGCCUGCCACUAGUGGCACACAGCCGCCAAGCACUCGGGAAGCAGAAGUGCUCGGAUCUCUGUUGAGUUCCACCCUGGUCCACAAAGUGAGCUCCCAUCCGGGACAGCCAGAGUACUUACACAGAGAAACCCUGACUUGGAGAUGGGGCGGGGGUGUGGGGUGGGGGUAUAACUCUUCUGUGAGACGGGCUAGCCAAGCUUGAGAACCAUCUACUGCUUUGGGUUAAAAGCUGAUCAAAACUGAUAAUAAAGUUAAUUGUUACCCA